AUUGAACGCUGGCGGCAGGCCUAACACAUGCAAGUCGAGCGAGCGGCGGACGGGGGAGUAAUGUAUGAGGAACUGCCCGAUGGAGGGGGAUAACUACUGGAAACGGUGGCUAAUACCGCAUACUCCCAGAUGUGCCCAGAUGGGAUUGGCUAGUAGGUGGGGUAAUGGCUCACCCAGGCGACGAUCCCUAGCUGGUCUGAGAGGAUGAUCAGCCACACUGGGAAUGAGACACGGUCCAGACUCCUACGGGAGGCAGCAGUGGGGAAUAUUGCACAAUGGGCGCAAGCCUGAUGCAGCCAUGCCGCGUGUAUGAAGAAGGCCUUAGGGUUGUAAAGCACUUUCAGUGGGGAGGCGUUACCCGCAGAAGAAGCACCGGCUAACUCCGUGCCAGCAGCCGCGGUAAUUC
rnacentral:rRNA from 1 species